rnacentral:rRNA from 1 species
CCCACCCCACCUCUCUAUGUCACACACACCUUUGUGUGGCAUGUGGAUGCUACUCAUCAAAUCAUAAUAUAUACAGAUUUUUUAAAUAUCUAAUCAUAAUGUAUACAGAUUUUUGAAAUAUCUGAUUUUGAACAUCAUAACAUUAUAUUGUGGUUAUAAUCUCUUGAAACUUGUGAUGUUAAAAUAGGUGCAGACCCACCUUGAAUAAGGGGCGUCAAGCACUAAGAUACUUCUUUUGUCGAAAAAUUAUAUUAAUUAUAUAUACUAUAAAAUUUUAAUUUAAUAUAUAUAUGUAAGUAUUAAUAUAUCUUGACAUAAGUUAAAUAUUUAGUCUGAUGAUUAACAUGUACAGAAAUUUUCUUGAAAUAGUAUGUUCUAGUCAUAAUUAUAUUUUUUUUAUUAUAACCAUUGACAUGCAUCCCUUAGUGUCAAUCUUAGAUUCGAGGUUAAACAUAUCAUAAUAUUUAUAUAUAGCUAUAAAAUCUUUUUAAGUAAAAUAAAAAGUUUAAACUAAAUUGUUUCUAAAAUUUAAAAGAGAUCAUUCUUUGUGAAACUGAUUAAAAGAAAAUAAAUUCAUAUAAAUUGAAACAAACUGAGUAAUAACAUAAAGCGAAGCUUUUACAAUGGAAUUAAUAUUUUUGUGUUUUAUAAUUCUAGAACCAGCUAUUCAAGGAACAAAUUUCUCUUCUUAAAGACAAGGUAAAAAUGCAUUAGAAUAUAAAAUCAGUUUAUUUAUUUUUAUUUUAUUUACAUUUCAAUUUUUAAAAAAAAUCGAGAAAAUCGCGUAAUAAUUAUUUUAUUAUAAUUCUCCUUUGGUUCUUUUGUCCCAGGAAAAAGUCCUAAUGAAGAAAAAUGCAGAAUUGCGGGAAAAGGUGAACUAUGAUUUUAUAAUUCACUUUUAAGAUUAAUUAAAAUUGAUAAAUUAAGACACAUAAAAUAAGAAGAAUGAAAUAAUAUUAAGAUUAAUUAAAAUUGGUAAACUAAGACACAUAAAAUAAAAAGAAUGAAAUAAUAUGUUUAAGCUAUUUAGUGAAUCAUAUUUUGAUUGAAUAAUUAUUAUAUAUUUUAUAACUUUUUAUUACAGUAUGAGGCUCGAUCACUGCCUUUAUUUAUUGAUCGACGAGAAGAUGAAAGUCCUCAAACACAAAAUAUGGAGGUAGAUACACAACUAUUUAUUGGACUUCCUGAAAGAUGAAUAAAGAUGAACUCGAGAUUUAAAAUUUAUAAAUUCGAAAAUUUUAUUUAUUUGAAUUACUAUAUUUUAAAUUAAUAAUUUAUACCUAUUCAAUCGUUUUAUCGAAACAAAUAUAGAAUUAUUUAUAUACUAGUACCGCUCCAUCAAUUACAAGCUUUUGUGACUUCCAUGUAAUUUACUUGAUGACAAAAAAAUAAUAUAAAAAGUAAAUUAAUCAUCAAUAUUUUUACUUAAGCACCACUUAUAUCAUCUUAAUGAAAGGUUAGCUAAUCGACUAAAACAAAUGUCAAGAGGAUUAAGAUCUUGUAAAUUUGAGAGGAUUAACUAAUGGUAACUUAAUCUAUGUGAUCUUAUUUUAAUCUUAGAUCUAGUUGGUUCAUAGUUUAAGAAACACCAAAUUUGAUGCAUUAUCUUCAUUUGUGAAGACUCAGCAAAAUUGUUUACCUUGUAUAUAUAUUGGUAAUGUAAAAACAAAAUUACUUUCAUGAAACAUAGGCAAAAUUAGAAUUUAAAAUUUAUAGAUUCUUUACUUGAUCCCCAAAAAGGGGGCAGCUAUGGUUGAACUUAAAUUCUGGAAAUAAGUUGGGGGCCCUUUACCAAGUCUACCAGAUAGAAGAUGAUAGAGGGACAAAAGUACAAGGGAGAUUGGAAGGGAGAUUGGUUGAAGAUGAUGUUAUGCAGCGUUGGGAACCAGCCUUAGCUUGAAGUGAAUGAUGAUUUAUAAAGAAGUAAGGAAAUGAGACGACUCUUUCUUGACUGCAAGACUCACCCGUCGAGCAGGGAUGAAAGUCGGCCUUAGUGAUCUGACGAGGCCGAGUGAAAUGGUCGUCACCCAACGGAUAAAAUUUACUAUAGGGAUAACAAUUCAAUCUUCCCCAAAAGUUCACAUUGACGGAAAGGUUUGGCACCUCGAUAUCGGCUCUUAGCCACCUGAGGUUGUAGCAUGUUCCAGGGGUCAGGUUGUUCCCCAUUAAAGUGGUAUGUGAGUUGGGUUCAGAAUGUUGAGAGAUAGUUUGGUCCAUAUCUGAAGUGAAUGUUAAAGCAUUGAGAAGGCCUUUCCCUAGUCCGAGAAGACUAAGAAGGACGCACCUCUGGUGUACCAGUUAUCACGUUCACGAUAAAUGUUGGGUAGCCAAGUGCGGAGCAGAUAAAUACUGAAAGCAUCUAAAUAGUAAGUCCACCCCAAAAUAAGCACUUUCAUAUUCAUAUUAAGAAUUAAAUUUGCAAUCAAAUACUUAUAGAUAUUUACUAUAGAUUUUUAUUUAAUAUAUAAACAAAAGUUUGAACAAAAAUUAUUUAAUAAGAAAUUGUAUCUAUA